rnacentral:rRNA from 1 species
GCGGCGGACGGGUGAGUAAUGCCUAGGAAUCUGCCUGGUAGUGGGGGAUAACGUCCGGAAACGGGCGCUAAUACCGCAUACGUCCUGAGGGAGAAAGUGGGGGAUCUUCGGACCUCACGCUAUCAGAUGAGCCUAGGUCGGAUUAGCUAGUUGGUGGGGUAAAGGCCUACCAAGGCGACGAUCCGUAACUGGUCUGAGAGGAUGAUCAGUCACACUGGAACUGAGACACGGUCCAGACUCCUACGGGAGGCAGCAGUGGGGAAUAUUGGACAAUGGGCGAAAGCCUGAUCCAGCCAUGCCGCGUGUGUGAAGAAGGUCUUCGGAUUGUAAAGCACUUUAAGUUGGGAGGAAGGGCAGUAAGUUAAUACCUUGCUGUUUUGACGUUACCAACAGAAUAAGCACCGGCUAACUUCGUGCCAGCAGCCGCGGUAAUACGAAGGGUGCAAGCGUUAAUCGGAAUUACUGGGCGUAAAGCGCGCGUAGGUGGUUCAGCAAGUUGGAUGUGAAAUCCCCGGGCUCAACCUGGGAACUGCAUCCAAAACUACUGAGCUAGAGUACGGUAGAGGGUGGUGGAAUUUCC